UAGCUCAGUUGGUUAGAGCACUACCUUGACAUGGUAGGGGUCGGUGGUUCGAAUCCACU
rnacentral:tRNA from 2 species